AAAGGGUAGGUCAGCCACCGUGUGGUUGUGGUGGUUCAAGCAGGUAGGCGGUUGUUCCAGGACGCUACGCGACAAACGGAGCAGCUUAACGCCGAGAUGCGAUGAGGAGGCGACUUCUUCGGAAGACGCCGCAACUGAUUAAUCCCACGCUUCCGAGAAAAGCCUCGGGUGGAGAAUAUUCGACGACCGUACCGCAAACCGACACAGGUGGGUGGGGAGAGUAUCCCAAGGCGCUUGAGAGAACCCUGGUUAAGGAACUAGGCAAAUUGACACCGUAACUUCGGGAGAAGGUGUGCCCCCGGUAUGUGAAGCGGCUUGCCCGCAGAGCAGAUGGGGGUUGCAGUGAAACGGGGGUAGCGACUGUUUACUAAAAACACAGGACUCUGCAAAGUCGUAAGACGAAGUAUAGGGUCUGACGCCUGCCCGGUGCUGGAAGGUUAAGAGGAGAUGUCAGGGGCAACCCGAAGCUUCGAAUCGAAGCCCCAGUAAACGGCGGCCGUAACAAUAACGGUCCUAAGGUAGCGAAAUUCCUUGUCGGGUAAGUUCCGACCUGCACGAAUGGCGUAACGACUUCCCCACUGUCUCGACCAGGGACUCAGCGAAAUUGAAUUCUCGGUGAAGAUGCCGAGUACCCGCGGCAAGACGGAAAGACCCCGUGAACCUUCACUACAGCUUGGCACUGAACUUCGGGCUAUUCUGUGUAGAAUAGGUGGGAGGCUGUGAAACGUGGACGCCAGUCUGCGUGGAGCCAUCGUUGAAAUACCACCCUGGAUAUUCUGGAGUUCUCACCGCGGCCCGUCAUGCGGGUCCGGGACAAUGUCUGGCGGGUAGUUUGACUAGGGCGGUCGCCUCCCAAAAAGUAACGGAGGCGCGCGAAGGUUCCCUCAGCCUGAUUGGAAACCAGGCGUAGAGUGCAAAGGCAUAAGGGAGCUUGACUGCGAGAGCGACAGCUCGAGCAGGUGGGAAACCAGGCCUUAGUGAUCCGGUGGUUCUGUGUGGAAGGGCCAUCGCUCAACGGAUAAAAGGUACUCCGGGGAUAACAGGCUUAUCUCCCCCAAGAGUUCACAUCGACGGGGAGGUUUGGCACCUCGAUGUCGGCUCGUCGCAUCCUGGGGCUGGAGUAGGUCCCAAGGGUUUGGCUGUUCGCCAAUUAAAGCGGCACGCGAGCUGGGUUUAGAACGUCGUGAGACAGUUCGGUCCCUAUCUGCCGUGGGCGCAGGAGGUUUGAGAGGAGCUGUCCUUAGUACGAGAGGACCGGGAUGGACGUAUCACUGGUGUUCCGGUUGUCGCGCCAGCGGCACUGCCGGGUAGCCACAUGCGGACGGGAUAACCGCUGAAAGCAUCUAAGCGGAAAGCCCCCCUCAAGAUGAGACCUCCCAGGGUAAUACCCCUGAAGGCCCCUUGAAGACUACAAGGUUGAUAGGCUGGGUGUGCAAGCGCAGCGAUGCGUUCAGCUGACCAGUACUAAUGGGCCGUGAGGCUUGACCAC
rnacentral:rRNA from 1 species